ACACUUACCUGGCAGGGGAGAUACCAUGACCACAAAAUUGGUUCUCUCAGGGUGAGGUUCAUCCGUUGCACUCUGGGUGUGCUGACCCUUGUGAUUUCCUCGAAUGUGGGAGACUCGACUGUAUAAUUUGUGGUAGUGGGGAACUGUGUUUGCGUUCUCCCCUG